UCUUUAAAUUAAGAAAUAGAGGGAUACUGAAUCUAAUUCAGAAAUGAGAUCCUGCUAUUUCAGUGACUGCAGCUGCCUAUUGCUGAGUAAAAUGAGCAUGAGCAAGAAAUUCUUGUUUUUUUCAGAAUAAAUAUUACUGCCUUCCUCUCCUAGACAUCCCUGUUUCGGAGAGAAAUGGGAACAGAGAGAGCAAAUGCUCUUAGAUUCACUUUUUUAUACCAAUAAAAACCCCAUGAAUUUGAAGUCAGCCUGUGCUUUCUGCCCUAUUUCUUCCCUCCCCUGGAUGUUAACAGAAGGAAUACUAUUAAAGCUGGCAGGAGACUGAGUCAGACCCUGGAGUUAUAUAUGGAGAACUGGGACAGUGAUGAAGAAAAGAGUGGAUGCAGGAACAGAUAAGACAAGAAGAUGCAAAUAUUGAAGCAGAAAGAGUUUCUUGAUGUAUUCUGCACUGCACCUAUCCUCUAAGGCUUGAAGAAAUAUCGAGGCAAAGCACGGGAACUGAGAAGUUUCACUGACAAGUAGAGCUCCUAUUGAAUUCAGCCAUACAUAGCUUCCCCUGGAGAGGCAGCAAGCAUCAGACACUUUUAAUUUCAACUUUGUGCUUACAGGCUUUAAGGGGCUGCAGCAAUCAAGGACUUGUCUCUCUCAGACCUUCAGCUCACUUCCCUAGCUAACAUAAGCAAGGCAGACUUCUUCCACCCUGGCCUAAAGUAAUUUGUGCUAGAUGCUCUUUGACAGAGAACACUGAACAAAAUAAGCUGACAAUUCAAUGCAGUAUGAUCAUCUUUAUCAGUACAAGAAUAUUACUUUUAAUUGCUUUAUUUGAAAAUGGCAGUAACAGCCUAUUAACCUGGAAAUUAACUCUGGACAACUGUUCCUUUGAGCAUUAGCUCCCUGGUUAUGCCAGGAUCCAAGGUCCAUGAACCACGGGCAACACCUUCAUUGAUUCAAUCCGGUAUCUGCCCUGUUUUACAAGGCAUUUGAGUCCAUUCAAUAGCAGCAGCCACCAGGUUACACCAAGUGGAAGACAAUGCUAUUUCCCAUCAAGCUUGUCAUUUCAACAAUGCAUUUUAAACAACCUGCUAUGUAGUGCAAGAGGUGGCUUCAGCAGUGCAGUCACUCAGAGUGGCUGUAAACCUGACGUAAGCAGACACUUAAGGUGAGUUUAUGACUGCUUUGCAUUGUUAAAGGAACAUGGGCAGCUAGAUCAUACCAACCAGUCUGGCCCAGGAUAUUCUAUCAUAAAGUGCCAUAUGGUCAUUUACAGAUCUGGAUGCAAAUUCCAUUGAGAUUGUAAGCAAUUAUCUUUUAAUUAAAUGCCAUAGCAAGAGCUGUAUGAAGUGUUAUUCUUUAUUUUAGAAGCAAAGUAGAGAAGAACACUGCAUCACCUUGAAGAGGACUGGAAUAGAUUAUGUUUCAUGGCAUUACUAGUGCAGU